rnacentral:piRNA from 1 species
UCCCUAGCUUGGUGUGGGUCCAGG